GCCAGUGCAGUGGCUGAGGCCCCUGUCCUGCUCUUGGCUCUGCCGUGGGACCCUGGGAAUCUCUUGACCCCAUGAGCCUUGAUUUCUUCCCCUGCGUACUGGAGCGAUGGUAACCUGACCUGCUGACCUCGUGAAGACAAAGGAGAGUGGCUUUCCAAGAUCGAUGGAUCCAAGACAAGAAGCCCACUGGGGUGGCCAUAGGUGGCAUUCUUAAAUUGUUGUCCUUGAUAGAUUCUGACAGUUCAUGGCCUGCAGGAGUAGAGUAAAGUGGUAUCUGGGGGCAAGAGAACAUAUCCUCCACACGCCUCUCUUGACAGCGCUUUAUGUUUAUUCAUUCUGUGAUAACUUUGGAUAAAAUGAAAAUCAA